rnacentral:lncRNA from 1 species
UUUAAGGUUAUGUUUUGCAGAGUCUCCUGGAUUGCUAACAAGAGCUCUGAAAAGAGAAUUGUGCAAACUAAGUAGGGCUUGUAUCGUCCCAACUGGAUCAUGCCAUUGUAGGUGGUGCAUGCCCGCUCUAGGCAACUUUGAGAAGAUGAGCUAAGAUAAGCACGUGUCAAAAUGUAAAUGAAGGUUCAACAGUCACCAAUCAAAUUGGAACCAAUAAUGUUGCCUCAUCCAUUUAUACCUGUCAUGUAUGUGCAGGAAAUCUUGUUAGUAUAGUGGUGACACUACAUUUAAAAAACAAAAAGAAUAAUCCGAGAAAGAAUACUCACUUUAGUUUACACAAUGAACACAUUAUUCUCUAUGCAUAUUUUAUUCCUCAUACUCUAGUCUCAAAAGCCCAAUUAUGACAUUGAUUUAGCUCAACACCACAAUGUUUUUAUUCAAAGCUAGUUGUAAUUACGCAAAUUAAUCACAUGUGUAAUAUUAAAAAGAAGAAAAAUUAAUCUUCUACAAGAGUACUUCGAUAUGCACUUAGUUGCAGGAGUGUGAGUAGCAUAUAAUUAAAAUCAUCAAACAAAUCAAUUAUUUCACGAGGCAAGCACACCUCGCAACCUUCUAUAUUCCCCAGAAUUACUCUAUUGAAUGUUACAACUCAAUUCAAUUUUAUAAUCAUGCCACGUAAAUCGAACAACCAAAUUUCUUUGGUGUAAACAUGUAACAGGACUACGGGAUACCUACAAGUCUAAUAUAAUAUCACUACUUUUCAGGCUCUAAAUACUAAAUUGACGAGGCACGAAGAAUACCUUAAAGGCAGUCUCAUUCUCCGCUAACAAUGAACAGUAAGAUAAGUAGCAUCUUCUUGCCUAGCCCACUCCCGAACAAGCACACCUUGCUUAUGCGCGGGAAGCUUUUUACACAACCAAGCCAGCUUCGAUCUCCUCCACUGUUCAGGAAGUUCCUCCAAUUCCUUAACCUCAACCGGCAAAGCCCCGAACUCAAACCCGGCUUGUUCAUCUCAGCCAAACCAAAUCCCGAAUCAAAAUUGAACAUAUCCUUUAACCAGAGUUGGGAAAAUCCCAUAUUUCUUCAGCCUAAGCAUUGCAAUCAAGGUGUUCGACAGAAGCCCUAGAUGAAGAUAAUGAGGAAAAAGUGCGGAAUCUGCGUGGUUUGGUGAGGGAUCCUGAGAAAAUGUUCGGUAGGGUUGAUUGAAGGAGAGUGAUGGAGCAGAGGACGAGACGGCGACGGUGGUGGUGUGCGGUGGUGACGAGAGGAGAUGUCUGUGUGUUUGUAUAUGCGUAUGGGUAAUAUACGUGUGAGCGUUAAUUAGCAGGUUUGGAAAAAGGUUCGGAACACAAGGAAUUAAUUUGCUCGGGAGAACAACCUGUUCUCGUAUCUAUACUAUCUAUACUAUACUAUAAUAAGCCAACAUGGGUAUAAUUUGUAGUCCUACUUUUCCUUCACGUUUUUUGGUUUCGUCGUUUCUUUUUUCGUUACUGGACUAUUACACGGUCCUCUUAGAGUUCUAUUUCCGAGUGGACACUGGUUCUCCAAACUAAAGCAAGUACUAUAGAAAACAGAUACUUGAACCACCGCCCUCUUUCUUCCUCUCCGUCAGCCACAUACGACCAAGCGACUCUUUCUCCCAGCAGAGAUUAACUUUGCAGACAAGACCAAAUACUACUCAUAACACUUAACAGUCCACUAAUUAGCCCGCUGUAGAUACAGAAAAUAUAACAAAAACCCAUAUACAAAAACUCUUUAAAACCCCAAGAUUUUUGAAGAAUUGAAGAGAUGGGAGCUGAUAUACCCUAUUGUGGAACAGAGUUUGUGCUGUAUGUGUUUGCAAGUUUGGGUUUGGUAUUGCUUGCUGGGCUUAUGGCUGGCCUUACUCCUGGCCUUAUGUCUCUAAGAGAAUUGUGCAAACUAAGUAGGGCUUGUAUCGUCCCAACUGGAUCAUGCCAUUGUAGGUGGUGCAUGCCCGCUCUAGGCAACUUUGAGAAGAUGAGCUAAGAUAAGCACGUGUCAAAAUGUAAAUGAAGGUUCAACAGUCACCAAUCAAAUUGGAACCAAUAAUGUUGCCUCAUCCAUUUAUACCU